AUACUUACCUGGCAGGGGAGAUACCAUGAUCAGGAAGGUGGCUUUCCCAGGACGAGGCUCAUCCAUUGCACUCCGGAUGUGCUGAACCCUGUGAUUUCCCCAAAUGUGGGAAACUCAACUGCAUAAUUUGUGGUAGUGGGGGACUGCAUUCACACUCUCCCCUA
rnacentral:snRNA from 1 species